AAGCAGCAGGAUCGACGAAGAACCAGCAGUCUUCCUCAGUCUUUUGGAGGCUGUAAGGUUUGUUUUUAAAUUUCGCGAUUCAGGUAGAAAUCCGGUUGUACUUUAUUCGAUCUAUCUGAUUAACAAGUAUUAAAUACCGUACAGCUUCGAUAGCACGUACGUUAUCAAGACAAACUAAUCUUCGCAGCGACCGCGAAGACUUAUGUGUCCAUGAGGUGCAAGAUCUUAGAUUGUCAAGGCAAUUCCCCAACAUUUCUACCUAGUAUCAGAUUGGCCAAAAAUCUUGGCACACGCAAAGGAAGUCGACGAGGCAACACUGGAAAUCGACUUGAAUUAUUAGUCUUAGUUCAUUUACAUCACGUGCCAUAAACAAUAAAAACGAUCGACAACAAUUCUUACGGUGACCGAAUUUCCGAGUAAUACUUGAGACUAAAAUUCGUAAAAAAAAUGGUAGACACGGACAUAAGCGGAUCCGCGAUUAAAGGACGUUAUCAUGAAAUCAAAAAAGACAAGGAAGAACAUACAUCGUCGAGAGAACAACAACAACAAUAUCAGCAGCAAGCAUCAAGGAAGAAUGAUAAAUACGGUUCAUGGGGCUCGAUCUUUAAAAACAAGGACAACUUCGUCGACAUGCAUAUAUGCUAAUGUGCUUUUCAACAAAAUAUAUCCUUCACGUAUGAUGUCACGAUUAAUGAAUUCACGCGCGUUAAGCGCUUCUCUGAAACGAGAUGCAAGAUAUUUUUUGCGGAAGUAUUUGGAAUAAAAAUUAUCUCUCGACUGCUUCUUAUAAUAUGUUAAAUCUAAAGUAGCAUUUAUAAUCUCGCAGCAUUAUUUCUCAUUCGAUUAGUAGCGUAACUUCGAGCUAAUUUUCUAUCAGAGAAAAUAAUUUGACUUGUAUCUAAAAGUGAUAAAAUAUGAAGUAAAUAUAUCUAUAAGUUGCAAAUGCA